rnacentral:rRNA from 1 species
ACGGGGUGCAGCAGGCGCGAAAACUUCACAAUGUGGGAAACCGCGAUGAGGGGAUUCCAAGUGCUUGCGUUUUGCGUAAGCUGCUCUCCUGCCUAAAAAGCAGGGGGAGUAAGGGCUGGGUAAGACGGGUGCCAGCCGCCGCGGUAAUACCCGCAGCCCAAGUGGUGGUCGAUAUUAUUGAGCUUAAAGCGUCCGUAGCCUGUCUGGUAAAUUCUUGGGUAAAUCGUGCAGCUUAACUGUCCGAAUUCCGGGGAGACUGCCAGACUUGGGACCGGGAGAGGUUGGAGGUACUCCUGGGGUAGGGGUAAAAUCCCGUAAUCCUGGGAGGACCAUCAGUGGCGAAGGCGUCCAACUGGAACGGAUCCGACGGUCAGGGACGAAGCCCUGGGUCGCGAACUGGAUUAGAUACCCAGGUAGUCCAGGGUGUAAACGCUGCAGACUUGGUGUCGGAGGUCCUACGAGGGCGUCCGGUGCCGGAGAGAAAUUGUUAAGUCUGCCGCUUGGGGAGUACGUCCGCAAGGAUGAAACUUAAAGGAAUUGGCGGGAGAGCACCGCAACGGGAGGAGCGUGCGGUUCAAUUGGAUUCAACGCCGGAAAACUCACCGGGGGCGACGGUUACAUGAAGGCCAAGCUGAUGACUUUGCCUGAUUUUCCGAGAGGUGGUGCAUGGCCGUCGUCAGUUCGUACCGUA